rnacentral:rRNA from 1 species
UACAGAGGUCUCAAGCGUUGUUCGGAUUCAUUGGGCGUAAAGGGUGCGUAGGCGGCGCGGUAAGUCGGGUGUGAAAUCUCGGAGCUUAACUCCGAAACUGCAUUCGAUACUGCCGUGCUUGAGGACUGGAGAGGAGACUGGAAUUUACGGUGUAGCGGUGAAAUGCGUAGAUAUCUGGAGGAACACCGGUGGCGAAGGCGGCAUCCUGGACCACGACUGACGCUGAGUGAGCGAAAGCCAGGGGAGCAAACGGG